AGAUAUGGGACCAGGUUGGAAGAUGAAGCUUAGAGGGUCUUAAUAACUAUCCACUAAAAAAGAAACUCCAGCGCAGUGCAGCAGUGACAGCGGAGGAAGCUGCGUCCUCGCGAUGUGAAAAAGCAUACAUGGCCCAAAAUGAAGGGGUCAAGGUUGCUGGUUGGUUAGCAUGACCCUGUUGUAGAACCCCAGCUGGUAGAUGUGACACCAUCUGGCUGCAAAUAUACAAGUUGCUUCAUUGACAACAAUUCAACAUCAUCCGCUUUUUCUAAGGAAAAUUCUUCCUUCCUGAGGUAAAUAGCGUUCGUCAGCUCCAGUUUGUAUCC